UUUUAGAAUCAAAGGCAGACUUGAAGAACAGAAGCCAGAUAGAGUAAAACCUUUUAUGACGGGAGCUACAGAACAAAUCAAACAUAUCCUUGCUAAUUUUAAUAACUAUCAGUUCUUCAUAGGUGAAAACAUGAAUCCAGAUGGCAUGGUGGCUCUCUUGGAUUUCCGUGAGGAUGGUGUGACCCCAUAUAUGAUUUUCUUUAAGGAUGGUUUAGAAAUGGAGAAAUGUUAACAAAUUCAGCUGAUUACUUUGGAUCACCUGUCAUCAUAACUGGCUGCUGCUUUUUGUCAUCUACACAACACCAGGACUUGGACAAAUUUGGACUGAUAUCAUCUUGAGCUUUAUUCAUUUAUUUUUGACCUGAUUUAUUUGGAGUGGAGGCAUUGUUUUUAAAAACAUGUCAUGUAGGUUGUCUAAAAUAAAACGCAUUUAAACCCA